GGCCGCAGUAUAUUGACUGUGCAAAGGUAGCAUAAUCAUUAGUCUUUUAAUUGAAGGCUGGAAUGAAUGGUUGGACGAAAUAUUAACUGUUUCAUUAGUAUUUAUUUUAAAAUUUUAUUUUUUAGUUAAAAAGCUAAAAUUUAUAUAAAAGACGAGAAGACCCUAUAAAUCUUUAUAUUUAUUGUUAUUAAUUUUAUAUAGAAAUUUUAUAAUUUAGUAUAAAUAAAUAUUUUAUUGGGGUGAUAUUAAAAUUUAAUUAACUUUUAAUAAUUUCAUCAUAAAUUAAUGAAUAUUUGAUCUAUUAUUAUUGAUUAAAAGAAUAAGUUACUUUAGGGAUAACAGCGUAAUUUUUUUGGAGAGUUCUUAUUAAUAAAAAAGAUUGCGACCUCGAUGUUGGAUU
rnacentral:rRNA from 1 species